AUCCAGCUGUCAAGUCCCAAAUAAGACGAAAUAAGCAUCCUGGAU
rnacentral:hammerhead_ribozyme from 1 species